rnacentral:lncRNA from 1 species
UAGUAACUAAUUUGGAUUUAAAAAAAUAAAAAUCUACCUAUUCCACUUUAGACAUACAUUUCAUAGUACUCACGUAACAUGCAUUACAUAAUAGUACAUGUUUUGCAUACAGUCAAUAAUACAUAUUUGAUAUAGAUAAUUAAUACACACACAUAUAUAUAUAUAUACAAUAUACGCCACACGUAUAGGUCGUCAGCGUCGGCACCUCCACAAGCCCGUGUUGAUGUCGUCGGUGUCGCCGCCGCCGCAGCACCGUGAUGAUGUUGUCGUCGUCGUGGUCGGUGCCACAGCACCGUGAGGAUGCCGUCGUCAUCGCUGCAGCAGCCCCGUGUCGAUGUUGAUGCCGUCAACGCCGCCACCCCAGCCCCGUGUAGAUGUCAAUGUCGAUGCACCUAAUUGAUGUGAAAAUGGAUAGGGAGCAUAGAGCAGAUCAAUGGUUCAAACUUUCAAAGGCUUGACAUUGGAUUCGCUUUGGUAUGCUUACGAAAAAGUGCAGAAAAAACAAAGUCAUGUUGAACUCUAGACUACAUCAUUUUGUUCUAUGUUAGUGAUGUCUUGUAGAUAGUUAGCAUAUUUAUAUAACUCAAAUUCACUUUAUGUAUACUUAGCAGAUUGGUGCCAACCAGAUGAACACCAUGAGGCAGAGGGUUACCUAAACAGACAACACCAGUAGCAACGAGGCAAAAGGAAACUAGGAAGUAAUCUCUAGUUUCUAUUUUUUUAAGUGAGCAUUUUACCACACCUGAUGUUUCCCAUGAGGGAGGUUGUUGUUCAUUUUGUGAUUCUCUUCUGCCAAAUGUUUACCAUGAAUAGUUUCAUUCUUAUAAAGCUAAUUUCCCUUGUCUUUUUCUCAUUAAUCCAUUAUAGUUAUUAAUUGGAUAAAUCCCACGAGUAAGAAAGCAGUGAAACUAAAUUUAGGGUCGCAUACCUGGGCAUUCUCACUCUUAUGUAUAUAUAUAUGCAGAUAAAAAGCUCUAAUAGUAAACCCAAGAACCAAUAUAUGCAGCUAGUACAUUCUCCCAGAUUUGUCUGCUAAGAACAUGCAAAUACUGAUUGUAGAUGUCGUGGAGCCAUCGCCUACAAAAGAAAUGAGUAAAUUUAUAAGAACAUGCUCCCUAUAUGCAGAAAGUGGUAAACCUAUUAAGUUAAGAGGAAGAGGGUGGUGAGAGGGGGUCUGGGCAGAGGUUUCCUAGCCAUAUUAAAUCCGCUGCCCAAUUGGCUAUAAUUAAUAGAAACAGUAUACAAAUUCUGAAUUUUCUGGACGACAUUGGCCUAAGAAAACAAACUAAAUGAGGAAUUUAGCUACAAUGCAACCGAAGAUAACCUAUUGAAGCUGAGGUCUCAUACUCCUAGAAAUUGCUCGCACUUAACCUACAACUAGAACGUAGGACCUAUGUUCACUAACAGUUCGAACUCCACAUGACUUGUGACUGCAAUCAGAAUUCUGCGUUCCAGUUGUAAUAUUUGCUCAAAGAAAUAUCUAGGACCGAAACUCUGUCAGUUUCAUUUCCAAAAUGUCGAGUAAUUACCAUGAACCAGGGUGUAUCGAGGACAUGGCGUUUUCACCAAGAAUCAUUGCUACAAGGCGUACAUACAUACAGGCAAAGCAAUUUUCACCAAGAAUCAGCUAGCAGUCUAAUAUAAUCCCCUUUCCAAUUACUCAAGGAGGAACUGAUGAAAAAAGACAAGUUAAUUAGCUGGGUACAAAAAUUAAACCUUUUGAGAUGGACGGAUGCCCUCUUCACUCAGAUCUGAAGAUGAUGGACGGAUGCACCCAGCAGCUUUGUCACGGACGGCGACGGAGGAGAAGAACUUUGCACAAACCUUCCCACUCUGUCGCUAUCUUCUACCUGUAAAUGAAAACAGACCUUACUUAUCAGAGAAGCAAAUGUGAAAUUGUUCAGAUUAGAUGUAUUCAACAGAGACACUUCAAUCACGGACGGACAUACAAAUACAGCUCAUGCUGCUCUCGAUCCGCUGUCAGGGAUCCCCCACACCCGUAUAGGCGUCCAUCAUCCUGUCUCCCUCUCCCCCACUCGAUCGUGUGUCGUCCGCGUCCAAGCAGCUGCCAUCUAUAAGAAACUUUAUACGUAAACGACUAGUCAGAAUACGUAAACGACUACUCUGCGAGGUUUUCAUCUAAGAAACUAUCUACAGACUCCCCGCCGCCGCCAACAAAGGGAACCGCCGGAGAUGGACAGGGAGAGAGGCAGGGGAGCGGCGACGUGCGUGCUUGCGUGCUUACCCCUGCGGCGCGAAGGGCCGGAUCGGGACGACGACGGUGACAGAUGGCGACGGGGAAGGAAGAGACGAUGCCGCGCGGAGGCCGGGAGCCCGUCCUUGGCUGCUGGAGACGCCGAGCAGCAAUUUCCGUUGUGUGCGGGGGCCUCCGAUGGACAGCAGNNN